rnacentral:rRNA from 1 species
UACGUAGGGGGCAAGCGUUGUCCGGAUUCAUUGGGCGUAAAGAGCGUGUAGGCGGCCAGGUAGGUCGGUUGUGAAAACUGGAGGCUCAACCUUCAGAGGUCGACCGAAACCAUCUGGCUAGAGUCCGGGAGAGGAGAGUGGAAUUCCUGGUGUAGCGGUGAAAUGCGCAGAUAUCAGGAGGAACACCGGUUGCGAAGGCGGUUCUCUGGGCAUGUCCUGACGCUGAGGAGCGAAAGUGUGGGGAGCGAACAGG